rnacentral:rRNA from 1 species
CAAUAGCGUAUAUUAAAGUUGUUGCAGUUAAAAAGCUCGUAGUUGGAUUUCUGGUAGGAGUGACCGUGCCAGACUUGAUUGUCUGUGUAUUGUGUUGUCUCCAGCCAUCCUUGUGGAGAACUUUUCUUGCAUUAAUUUGUAGGGAUUGGGACCCGCAUCGUUUACUGUGAAAAAAUUAGAGUGUUUAAAGCAGGCAAUCGCUUGAAUACAUUAGCAUGGAAUAAUAAGAUAGGACUUUGGUACUAUUUUGUUGGUUUGCAUACCAAAUUAAUGAUCAACAGGAACAGUUUGAGGAUAUUCGUAUGAACAUGUCAGAGGUGAAAUUCUUGGAUCUUGACCAGACGAACUACUGCGAAAGCAUUUAUCAAGGAUGUUUUCAUUAA